UUAUCGAUAUUGAUGUUGCGACCGCCCCUCAAAUUGCACGUCGUCGUCUAGGUAGACAAGUGCACAGAGUAACCGGCUGUGUGCCAGUGUUACCGAAAUAAACGUUGGAGUACAAUAAAUUUGAGGUUACUUAGAGAAAGGCUAUUGUUAACGGAAAAAUAUUAAGCAUAUUAGUAUGAAAUAAAACUAAAAUCUGAUGUAUUGCUAUACAGUAACGUUUAUCGAAAAGACCUUGGAACAAUACAAAUUACAUCAAUUACAUUGCUACAAGGUCAGAUUCGGUUUGGUCCAAGCUCUUCGAUAUAAGUAUUAUAAAAUAUUUACUGCUGUUUUUCUCUAUUCCUAGAUAUCUUCGACUGAUAAAAUAAAAAAAAUUAUUACCAUUUGUUUAACAAAUGAACGUCGACCCAUUUUAAAUAAAUAUCUGAGUGCUCUGUAUUAACUCGUUCUUAAUGAUUUAUUCCUAAAAUUUUUCCAUGUACUGAAGCGAUAGUUAAAAAUUCAAUUUAUUUAUAAUAAUAAAAUCAUGUAAUCAAAUUUUGAAGUCAUUGAACUCGCAAUUAAUUGUAUGCGUUUAACUUGGUAACGCGAGUUGUCGACGAGACAUAUUUUUUAUUCUAUAUGUAGUUAAAUUCUUCCUGAGGAUUAUUAGCUUAAUUAAAACACAUCUACAGUGAAUAUUGGAAGGUAACUAAAGAAAACUGAGUAUUUAAUAAUCCAUUGCAACUUAAAUUUCGACAAAAUUAUUUGAUAAUUCACAAGAGAUGGAAGGCGUGACCUUAAUAAAGUCUUAAGAUCAUGGAAUUUGAAAUAUUUUUUCUUAAUUUCCAAGAACAUUGCGGUAAACUCGCAGGCUUCAUUCUUUUGUAUAUGCUAUUUAAUUACUCGAGUAUAAUAGAUAACUCAGAAGGCAGGAACUGUAACAAUAUGAUGUAUACAGUUUUAAGACUAUUAGUCACGUUAUAGGACAUGAUCAUAAUAAAUUAUUCCACUAAUAAAAAGAGCGUUCGUUUUAUUUAUUAGGCGAAAGAAAAGAAUUUUGGCGUCUUCCGAUUGAUAACAAAUGAAAUUGUAUAAAGUACCCGGAAUUUCUAUUUAAGUCAAUAAAAUAGUAGUGUGUUUAUAACUUUUAUCUAUUUUAAAUUGGUCUUAACUUUUGUUAGAUACCAUCAAGAGAAAUUAUAGUUUUGAAAAUAAAAAUCCUCGAUAACGAGUCUAAAGUUUAAAAAUUAGAGGCUAUAAAUAAUAUGACUCCGUGCAAUCAUUGGAAAUAAUAAAAAGAGUAUUACAUAAUUAUACAUAUAAACAAUACAAAACAUUUGACAUUAAUUAUCAAAAAUGGUUUACUUUUGUUCAUUAUAAACAUAUCCCAAGUCGUUAUGUAACACAUUCAUAGUAAUAGUUGUGGUACAAUAUGCAAAAUGGUGACCAAACUGAUCAUUAGCUAAAUUAUGUAAGAUUAACUAAUUUAUAUUUGUAACAUUUAUAGUGAUCUGGCUAAAAAUAUAAAUAAUCAUAUCUAUUACUUUUAUGAUAUUCUUAAAGUAUAUUUUACAAAUAGACCAUAAACAAGACUCAUGUGCUAAUUUGUGUAAAUCUAAAAAAUAUAUCAUAACAUACUUGAUGAAUAAUUUUAAUCUUUCCAAAAAAAAUGUAUUCCAAGGUCAACUUGUCGUUACAAUUCCUACUUAUACAAUUAAAUUCUCAAGUUUAAACUAAAUUGAUCAAUAAGUAUAAUUAAAAUUUUAUAUUUUAAAAUAAUAUUUGAAAAUACGUAGGGUAACCCGUCUAGUUAUCAAAAUAAUUAUAAUCUUUUUAACUUCGAACUUUUAACAUAUUACCUAUUAUGAAUAAAUAUCUAAUAUCUUGAUAUUAGAUAAAUGAUUUCAUUUACUUUAAAAUUUUAACUAAAAAACAAAUUUUUUAGGUUGAAUUUAAGUUCAAAAAACCGAGAAAACUUUGAAAUUACUUAAACUUAACGCUAGAAAGAGUUAAAAUUUCAAGUGGUGGUGCUCAUUUGUAUGUGAUAUUUCAAGGAGGAUUUAAACUGAACCAGUUACCCUAUGUGUUAACUUAUAUUAUGUGAAUUGAUUAUUAUUUCCAGAUUAAACAUUUCUACUAUUCAAAAUUAAUGGAAGAAUUCAAUGGCUAACCAAAGAGGAGCUAUGUAUGUGAUAAGCCGAAAAACAAAAAAUAAAAGUCAUUAGUUCACAUAAGCGAAAAUCAUUCCUAAUGAAAAGUGAUAUUUAUCGAACCGCAUAAAACGAAUACAUGUAAAACUAUUCAAUAUUCAAAAUUUUUGUAAAGAAAAGAAUUACUUGGAUUAAAAACAGUGGCGUAUUUAAAGUUGCAGCAAUCUGUACAUCUGUUAAAACAUGUUAAAGUUAAGUGAUUUUAGUUUAAAUUUAAACUUUUAUUUCACUAUUUCAAAUACGAUAUUCUUCAUUUUUAUAUGUUGUUUUAAUAAUUAAUUUUUAUUAACUAAAAUAUAACAAAUAAGAUAGAAGAAUAGAAUGUUAAGAUAACAAAAAUUUUUUUGAUAAUUAUCAUAGCAAAUUACUUAUAGGCUACCGAAACAGAUAAUUGUGGCCACCGUUGUUAUAAAAUCAGAUCAAUGAUAAACUUUUAUUUGAAGUCUAAAUCUUUGAACAAUUUUAAAAAGAAAAUGGUUGAUCGGUUAAAAAGAAACAUAAGAAUAAAAUUGUUAUAGCUAUUAUUAUUAUAAAAUAAAAAAUAACUAUUCCACUUAAUGAAAAUUAAAUUGCAAGAUUUUUGUGGCUAAAGAGAUGAAGUAAAAUUUAUAUAACAACAUAUUAUUGUAGUUUUAUAAACCAAAUAAUAUUUCUCUUUAUAAAAAAUGUAAAGAUUGUAAUAGUUUUUGCGAAAAUGUGUAUAAUG